rnacentral:rRNA from 1 species
UACGUAGGGUGCAAGCGUUGUCCGGAAUUAUUGGGCGUAAAGGGCUCGUAGGCGGUCCAUCGCGUCGGGGAGUGAAAGCCCCGGGCUCAACCUGGGAAUUGCGCGCGAAACGGGGGGGCGUUGAGUUCGGGAGAGGAGCGUGGAAUUCCCAGUGUAGAGGUGAAAUUCGUAGAUAUUGGGAAGAACACCGGUGGCGAAGGCGGCGCUCUGGACCGAGACUGACGCUGAGGCGCGAAAGCGUGGGGA